rnacentral:snRNA from 1 species
GUGCUCACUUUGGCACAAAACUUGGGGUGAUACGGAGAAGAUUAACAUGGCCCCCUGCACAAGAUGACACAAAUUUGGGAAGUGUUCCAUAUUAUA